UCCCCUGGAGAUUUGUGAAUAUGCAGCUUGUGAUUCAGGAGGAUGGGAUUCUGCAUUUCUAACAAGGUCCCCUGUGGUG
rnacentral:pre_miRNA from 1 species